CUGCUCUGCUAAUAAUUAGGUUCCCACCUCUCAAGAUCAUUAGGAGCUUCUUUUCCAAUUCCUCUGUUUUGCAUGCAUUGGAAGGUGGAUUUUCACAUCUCAAGCCAGCUAAGAGUAUGGGAAAUAGGACUCGUUAAAGCACAGAUACCCCAUCAGCCUGAGUCUCUUAAAGGCCUUUAUACACAUAUGUCUACACAUAGGGAUUUGGAUGAUCUCGGGAUCCCACAUCCUCGCUGUCCCCUGUCCCCCCACAACAUCCCACACCAAUACCUUUCUGAAGUUUUCUAGUCCCUCCUUUUUGUUUGUGGUCCUUAAAGCCCAGCCCCAUGCCUGACUUUGGUUCCCAGUGAGCAUUGUACAUUUGUGGAUAUUAAAUCUUUGGCAAAGUCA
ensembl:lncRNA LINC01535 long intergenic non-protein coding RNA 1535